UACGGAGGAUGCAAGCGUUAUCCGGAUUUAUUGGGUUUAAAGGGUGCGCAGGCGGACUAAUAAGUCAGUGGUGAAAUUUACAUGCUUAACAUGUGACGUGCCAUUGAUACUGUUAGACUAGUAUACAAAUGACGUAGCUGGAAUGUGUUAUGUAGCGGUGAAAUGCAUAGAUAUAACACAGAACACCGAUCGUGAAGACAGGUUACGAAUUUGUGAUAGACGCUCAUGCACGAAAGCGUGGGGAGUCAAA
rnacentral:rRNA from 1 species